UGGCUCUCGCAUCGAUGAAGAACGCAGCGAAAUGCGAUAAGUAAUGUGAAUUGCAGAAUUCAGUGAAUCAUCGAAUCUUUGAACGCAUCUUGCGCUCCAUGGUAUUCCGUGGAGCAUGCCUGUUCGAGUGUCACGUCAACAAUCACCCUUGUGAUGUCAAAAUCAUUUGUGGUGGACUUGGACUGUGCCGUAGCUGGCUCGUCCUGAAAUAUAUUAGCUUGCGCUUUUUAGAGUGCUGGGCACCGGUGUGAUAAUUAUCUGCGCCAACGCCUUAACGCCUCUUCAGUGGUGCUGCUUACAAUCGUCUUGACAGACACUAUUAUAAAGCUUUGGCCUCGAAUCAGGUAGGACUACCCGCUGA
rnacentral:misc_RNA from 1 species